rnacentral:lncRNA from 1 species
ACUGAACAAAAACUUUUCCAUAGCAGCUAUUUUAUCUUUUCCUACCAUGUUUCCUCAGGGACAACUUGUCGAAACUCGAACUAAUUGCUGUCUUUAAGCUCUUUGUGAGUUUGCAAUCAAGUAUCAUUGCAACUAAAGACUUUUUUCUGCUUUUCUAUGCUUACAGGAAGAAAGGAAACUCCUUGAUCAUUGAGACUGAGAAGAGGUAUACUUUCUGCACUUCACUCUGAUAUCUGCAAAGAAACAAACCAAUAAUAAACAUAAAAUUUCAUAUAUGCUGCUAAGAUCUGAACCAUUCCAUAUAUUUUCAAACAAGCAAUCAAAAACUUCUUGAUCUGAUGCAUGAUUUUCUACCUAUAUAUUCUCCCAAGUACUUAUCAAGAAAAGCAAAAAGAAAUAUGUUUUUCACAGUCGAUGACUCAGAAAUAAAGAAACUUAAUUUGAAGUAUACAUAUGCUAAUUAUAAUCUGUAUUUUGUUCUUUCUGUGCAGCUACAUCAACACUGUUGUCGUUGAGACUCAAGCUGAGAAUGAUGGCCAGUGCAAGUGCGGACCUGGCUGCAGCUGCACAAACUGCACAUGUAGUGGUCAUUAAGCAAACAAAAAAUAAUAAUGUUGUAGUUCAUGGCGACAUCAUGACCUAAAAAAUAAUGAAAUUUGGGUUGAAUGUUUUGUCUUUUGUUGUCUGUGUGUCAUAUGUUUGUGUCUCCUUACAUACUGCGAUCAUGUAAUGGCCAUGUCCAUGGACUUGUCUGUUAAUGAAUUACUAUUAGUAUAACGCUUCUCUGCUUUGCUCUUUCUUUUACACCGGCUACGUGUACAAGGUAAAGGUAAAGUUGCAGUUUGAUUAUAUUGUGGGACUUGAACUGGAAUUUAUUCUCCUGAACUAGAACCAGCUAAACCAAGGGUUAAGAGAAUAGCUAAUCCUGAAAAAUUAUUUUCAUUAUUUUUGAGCUCUGAUCAACCAGUGAUCAAUAUAUUCUACAAAGGGAUACAGUCCAGACAUAAAGACAAAAAGAAACUGAGAAUCACAAUAAUCUGUUCACCAUUUGGCUUCCAUUAUUAAUUAAAUUGUCAUCAAGUUGCCAUCUUUCCACUAACUGUAUACAAUUUUCUUUGCUCAAAAUUUUGACCAAUAUAAGUUACACAACAACACACAAUUAAUAAGAGAGAAAAUUGACAUGGAGAGUCAGCAGCUAAAAGAUAAAAAAGGGCAAAAUGUUUACUCAAGGAACCAAGACAUACCGAGUUCUGUCUCUGUCCAUAUCCUGAGUCAUGAAAGUAUUCUGGCAGUUCCAAUUCAUUCCACAGAGGUAAACAACCUCAUAAAAGCAAAGAAUAUGAAAGAAAUGAAUAGUUGGGAUGCUCCAACACCAAUUUUCAGAAAAAGAUAUCUUUCCUUUAUUCCUAAAUUUUUCAAAUCAUAUCUGUGUAACCCUCUAAUAAAUAGUUUGUACCUCAAAUUCUUUUCAUUCUAUAAACUUUGAAUACCAAUCUCAAACAUUGAAGGCCUCUGCACGAAGUAAAAUACGAUGAGCCUCCAUCCAUUUUGCACAAGCUUUUUCACCAUGCUCAACGAUGCAUUCGUCUCUGAGCUUCUUCGUCUCAGGGCAAGCACAGCAAAUUUUCUUCUUUGGCUUCGAUCUGCACCAGAUGUUUUUUUGCUGACCCCUGAUUUUGUUGCGAGCCAGGCAAAGCUAAGGCAAAGGCAUUUUGCGCAGGCAACCCACCUAUUCUCUGAGGUAGAAAGUGAUCUAAGAUAAUGUGAGAGAAAUAGAGAGAAGAGAUGCCAGAAAAUGGAUCAGCAAAAACAGAACCAAAACUUAUCCAAUUAAGCACAAUGAAGAAAUUCAUCAUAAAGGCAAAGAAAAUAAAGAUAGGCUUUGAUAUCAGUAAUCAUAUGACAACAACAACCUGCAGCUAAUGUCUAUUACUUUUCCUUUUUAUGUCUUACUAAUACUAAUGAAAAGCUAUUAGUUUAUUAUAGUUAUUGAUUCGAUCAGUUCGAUUAAUGUUAAAUUACAUUAUUUAAUAUUAAAUUAAUUAAAUUAUGUGAUUUUAUUUUUAUUAAUUGAAUCAAAUUUUUUAAUUUUAAAAAUUACUGAUCAAAAUUAAUUCGAUUGAUUUUGUUAAUUUUUUUGGUUAACUAAAUAAUCAAAUAAUUAAGUUUAAUUAUAUUUAAAUUUUUAUUUUCUCAUAUGUAAAACAAAUUAAAUAAAGUUAUCCAACGAAAAUAUUUAAACAUUGAAAUAUUACAUUAAAAACUCUAAUAACUUGAAAUAAAAUAAACAAUUCCAUAUAUUUUUAGUUUUAUAUAUAAAUUUUAUAAUAUUUCAGUUAAUUUGAUUUUCAAAUUAAAUUAAUUAAAAACUAAAUUUUAUUUUAAAUUAUUUUUGAAAAUCAAUUGAAAUUAAUUCAAUAAUCAACCAAUUAAUCAAAUUAAAUAAGUUCAAUUGAUUAAUUCAAUCAAAACUAAAUUAUAAACGCUCUUAAUUUGAUAUGCUAUUGGGAAGAAAUUUUGUUUUAUUUGAAUGGGUAUAAAAGAGAAUGAAAAAGUAAAUACCUUAAUUGGGCCUAUUAAAGGGAUAGUAGACUUAGACUAAAUAUUCUUUGGGCUGAACUCCCAAGAAAGAAAAAGGGCAAGUAUAGAUUUUGGCCCAACAAAUGGACUAACAAUUAAAUACCCAAUGAAUCUGAAUUUUAUUUUAUGUAAAAAGAGUAGACAACUCAUAAUUUUUAAUUUCUACUUUAUAUAUAGUUUAAAUUAAAUUUCACUUUAUUCACACAAUUGAUUUUAUGUAUGCUAAAUUAAAAUUUUUUAAUUCGCAACAUAAUAUCACCAUUUGAUCUGAUAAUUGUUUUUUUUAUUUUUUAAAAGCAAUCAUGUAUGUGUGUAUAUAUAAAUAAAUUUUUAUUUUUUACAAAAAAAAAAAAAAACCAAAACUUCAUUUAUCAAAUUGUCAAAAUGGGUUUAUGUAAUAAUCCUAAAAAACUUGAUAUGGACAUGUAAAGGAGAAAAAAAAAACGUGGUAGUGAAGAGGACAAUCAUGAUUUUCUUUGCUAUACAUGAAGAUAAAAAGAUUGAAAACAUAUAUAUAAGGCUAUACUUUGUUCUCAUAAAAUAUUCUAAAGGUUGAGAUCAAACUCUUAAUUGAAGCAUCCCUCAACUCACAACCCCAAACCAUAUAGCAAAUUUGGAAGCCCCAAUUCCUUCUCGGCAUGGAAGUCAAAGCUUCUUAAUAUUUGGUUUGUCAUGGCCCAAUGAAGCCGAACAUGAUCAAGUACUCUAGUUGUAUGGUCAUCGAUUGACUCGUUGUCGUCAAAGGAUACAUAGGCUCAUGCUGUGAAAUCCAUAAAUCUUUCCACUUCUUUGAUGAAACAAGUGUUCGUACUACAUAUUUUGUUGGGGGAGAGUUAAGAAUCUUUUCAUGAAGUGGAUCAUGCGGUUCGCUUAUUCACCAGCUUUCUCUUUCAUCUAAUGUGAAAUAAGCAAACUUACUGUAAGUUCUUAUGGUAAAAAAACCAAAGGAAAAAAAAAUGAAAUGAACUAAACAUUAAGAGAAAAUGUUGGAUUGCUACAACAAAAUGGAUGAGAAAACAUUUACCUUCCAAGAGAAUUAGGUGCAUAUAUUUCCUAUCUUCUUGAAUUGCCAUGAACAACAAUCAAAUUCAACAAUGAGCAGACAAGAAGUUUUGUAAUCCACAACCAUUUUAAGAUCGCUAAGAGAAAAACUUUGAACUCUAGCAUCUUCUCGUCCUACAAAUUUUGUCUAUGUUCAUACUAAUGGUCGGAAAUUGUGUUUAUAUAGACAGUGAAAAAUAAAUACACAUGAAUUUUUAGGACUAAAAAUAUAAUUAUCCUAAAGAUUUUUUUAAAAUAACUUACGAUGUUUAGAGAUUUUUACUAAAUUACUUACGAAAUAUAAUAAUUACCUUGAAGAUUUUUAUAAUGAUCAUAACUUUAGAAGAUUUUGCUAGAUAACUUAUGAAAUAUUCAUUUUAUGCAUUUUUAUAUUUUUAAAUAUAAAUUAUUAAAAUUUUUAAAUCAAAAAAUUUUGCAAUUAAGAUGCCAUUUUAUAUUUUUUUAUGCCUAAUUAAAGGUAUUCAUGGAUCAGACUAAGUUGGGUUCAAGCUAAACUCGUGCUUGGUAUUAAUAGUUUAUAUAUUUGUUUAAGCCCGGCCCAAUCCAAAAUUUCAAGCUUCAAAUUUUUUUCAAGUUCAAUCUAAAUUAAAAAAAUAAAUCUUAAACUCACCCAUUAAACUUAAUUUAUAUAAUAAAAAUUUAAAAAAAAUGAUUAAAUUAAGUUUAAUAGAUAAAUUUAAUUCACAUAUAUAUAAAAUUAAAAAUAAAAAUUAUAUAUGUAAAAAUAAAUAUAAUAAUUAUAUAAAAUAAAUUUUAAAUUUAAUAAAAUAUAUAUUUUAUUUUAAUUUUAUAUAAAUGUGAAUUAAUUUAUAUAUAAUUCACAUAUACAUAUAUGUAAAAAUAAAAAAUUUAUAUAUAUGUAAAUUUCGGCCGAGUCGAACUUGAGUUUUAAAUUUUUUAUCUAAGAUUCAAUUUAAAAUUUAAACGGACCUAAAAAUUAUGCUCCAACUUGUUUAAUUAAUUUUAAUUUUUUGUCCAAACUUUAUUAAAAUUGAAGCAAACUUUCAAACUUGGGCGAAUAGCCCUACUCUUGAACAGAUUUAAUCAUAUUGUGACAAAUUAACUGACUUUCUCUUGAAGUAUAUUUUUUUCUUCCUUUGAUAUGAAAAUUUGUAGCGUUUUUUUUUUUUUCUUAAGGUUAAAAACCCAAGCCUCCAAAGUUCUAUUUACCAUUAAUUCAUGGAGAACAUUUGCUUACUUUAACAUAUAAUUAUUAGAGAAAGAUAAUAGAACAUUACAGCAAAAAAUUAACAUCACACCAAACGAUGGUUGAUAAUAUGACACCCUUCAUAAUAUAGAAAUGCACAAAUAUAUGAGCUUUUGGAUAACAAAUUUUAAAAAAUUUUGAUAUAAAAACAUUUUAAAACACAUCAAUUCACAAUAUUAAUCGAGACUAGUGAUCUUGAUGCAUGUUUUUAACAACCUAUUUUCUAAAUAAAGCUUUCUUUUUUCUUUUUUUUUCUAUCCAACUCUCUUCUCAUUUUUUUAGAUUGAUUUCACUUAGCUUUUCAAGAAUAAGGAAUUUAUAUAUAAUUUUUUUUUAGUAAUGAACCAAAGAGAAACUCUCCAUCAGUCUGUUCCAAGGGAAAUGCCUAACAUUUUGAUGGUCAAUAUAUAAGGGUAUUUAGGCCUAAUAUAUGCGUGUUGGAAUACUAGUGAGCUACAUUUUUAAAAGCAAAUAGAAACUUAAAAAAAAGCGUGAUGUCAAUGGGGUUUUUGGAUAAUAUCAUAAUCAUAAUUAAUCCUGAUAAGCUUUAAGCUCCUUUUAUUUAUAUAUUUAUUAAUUUAAAAGUUGAUAUGAUGAGAGAGUAUAUAUAUAUUAAGAAUGUAAUCAUGUGAAGAUGUAACUUUUGUCUACAAGAUUGAUAUUUUUACCAUAUGAUAUGAUGAUCCUAAUACCAUAUUUGUAAAUUAAAACCAAGAUAAGUGCUGAGAAUGUCAAUGCUCAAAAUCAAUUACAAUUAAUUUCACAAAGUAAAACCCCUUUUUACCAUCUUUUUCCCUAGUUUUGGUUUAUCAAAGUGUUUCAAAGCAUCAAGAAAUUUCCCACCAACAAUCUUGAAAAGAAAUUAGCAAAUAUUAGUUAUGGAGCUACUAUCUUCUUUCAACUUGUUGAUUGAGAGAAAAAUUAAGCUUGAAAAUUUUAAAUAUAAUAAUUUUUAAACAUCACAUAAUAAUAUAAUGCGAAAAUUUUAUAAAAAAUUACAUAAAAUUAAUACAAUUUAAAAUUGACAAAUCAUAUAAAAAUUUGAUAAAAAUUAAAGAAAAAAUACAUUUCAUAUUUAACAUAUUAAUAUAAAUUAUAAUAUAAUAAUUUUUAUAUUUUAAACAUAUUUAAUAAAAUACCAUACGAAUAGAUGUAUUAUUUAAUUUGUAAAGAUAUAUAGAUAGAUAUCUAUACUGGAAUAUAUGCCAUCUCUCUUUUAAAAACGAGAAAUGACAUUGACAUAAUAGGAGGAUAGCAUCACAGCAAGCCAAGCCCCUUCAUUAUCAAGAUUCCUUCCGACUCUUCCUCAAGAGGCGUGUGCUUCUCUCAUGCCUACCUGGGCCCCCCGUACACGAAACAGUACCCUCUCCCUUCUUUCCUCCUCCUAUCUAUAAAAUACAUGAUCAUGCAAAGCUUUGGAGAUAUAGCAAUCCAUUGCAGGCUAUAACAACUUAAGAAACUCAAAAAACCUUCAGCUCUCAGUUCUCACGUUCAAAAACUUUCCAAGUUCACCAUGUCUAACAAGUGAGGCAACUGUGACUGCACUAACAAGAGCCAAUGCAUGUAAGUAAUCGAUAAUCUAUCCAUGAUAAACUUCCUUCGAUGUGUGGUUUGAGAUUAUGUUAUUGUUUUAAGUUAUGUUCAUUUUUGCCUUGUUGCCAUCAGGCUGAACAAAAACUUUUCAAUAGCAGUCAUUUUAUCUUUUCCUACCAUGUUUCCUCAGGGACAACGUGUGGAAACUUGAACUAAUUGUUAUCUUUAAUCUCUUUGUAAGUUUGAAAUCAAGUAUCAUUGAAACUAAAGGCUUUUUUUUUUUUUGCUUUUCUACGCUUACAGGAAGAAGGGAAACACCUUGGUCACUGAGACUGAGAAGAGGUAUAUGCUCUGCACUUCACUCUGAUAUCUGCAAAGAAAUAAAUCAAUAAUAAACAUAAAAUUUCGUAUGCUACAAAGAUCUGAAACAUUUCUUAGAUUUCAAAUAAGCAAUCAAAAACUUUCAUAUGCAUUUAGUUUUUAGAUAUAGCUUUUAUAAUAUUUCGAUUAAAAUUUUGGUUAAUUCGAUUUUUGAGCUAAAUUAAUUAAAAGUUAAAAUUUUUAUAAAACUAUUUUUAAAAACCAACUGAAAUUAAUUCAAUUAUUGACCAAUUAACCAAAUUAAAUUAGUGCAAUAAAUUAAAAUCAAAUUAUGAACACCCCUAAUUUUGAGAUGCUGUUAGAAAAGAAAAUUAGUUUUAUUUGAAUGGGUAUAGAAAAGAAAGAAAAAGAAAAGACUUUAAGCAAUGACAGGUCUAUGGAUAUGGCAGACUUUGGACCUGUGAAAUGGAUAGUAAACUUAAACUGGCUAUCUUUUGGGCUGAACUCCCAAAAAAUAAAAAUGUCGAGACUAGAUUUUGGCUCAACAAAUGACAAACAAUUAAAGGUUUAAUGCAUCUGAAUUUUAUUCUAUGUAAAAAGAGUACACAACCCAUAAUUUUUAAUUUCUACUUCAUAUAUAGUUUAAAUUAAAUUUCACUUCAUUCGCAUAAUUGAUUUUAUGCAUACUAAUUUCAAUCUUUUAUUUUAUUCCCCAACAUAAUAUCAUGAUUUGAUUAGAUAAUUGAAUUUUUAUUUUUCAAAAGUAUUCAUUUAUGCGUGUAUAUAUAAAUAAAUUUUUAUUUUUUACCAAAAAAACAUAAACCAAUGCUUCAUUCAUCAAAUUGUCAAAAUGGGUUUGAUUUUUUAUGUAAUAAUCCAAAAAAACUUGACAUGGACAUGUAAGGGAGAAAAAAAAAAAAAAGAAAGGUGGUAGUGAAGAGGACAACCAUGAUUUUUCCUUGCUAUACAUGAGGAUAAAAAGAUUGAAAACGUAUAUAUAAGGCUAUACUUUGUUUUCAUAAAAUCUUCCAAGGUUGAGAUCAAACUCUCCAAUUAGAACAUCCCUUGACACAAAGCCUCAAACCAUAUAGCGAAUUCGGGAGCCCAAAUUUCUUUUCGGCAUGGAAGGUGAAACUUCUUAAUAUUUCAUUUGUCAUGGCCCGAUAAAACAGAACUUGAUCAAGUAGUCCAAUUGUAUGAUCAUUAAUUGACUCUUUAUUGUCAAACGAUACAUAAGCUCGUGCUGUGAAAUCCAUAAACGCAACAGUACCCUCUCCCUUCUUGCCUCCUCCAUCUAUAAAUACAUGAUCUUGCAAAGCUUUGGAGAUGUAGCAAUCCAUUGCGAGCAAUAACAUGUUUAGAAACUCAAAAAAACCUUCAGCUCUCAGUUCUCACGUUCAAAAACUUUCCAAGUUCACCAUCUCUGACAAGUGCGGCAAUUGUGACUGCGCUGACAAGAGCCAGUGGGUGUAAGUAAUCGAUAAUCCAUCCAUGAGAAACUUCAUUCUAGGGUUGUGAGUGGUUUGAGAUUAUGUUAUUGUUUUAAGUUGUUAUGUUCAUUUCUGCCAUGUUACCGUCAGGCUGAACAAAAACUUUUCAAUAGCAGCCAUUUUAUCUUUUCCUACCAUGUUUCCUCGGGGACAACCUGUGGAAACUCAAACUAAUUGUUAUCUUUAAGCUCUUUGGGAGUUUGCAAUCAAGUAUCGUUGAAACUAAAAGCUUUUCUAUGCUUACAGGAAGAAGGGAAACACCUUGGUCAAUGAGACUGAGAAGAGGUAUACUUUCUGCAAUUCACUUGAUAUCUGCAAAGAAACAAACCAAUAAUAAACAUAAAAUUUCAUAUAUGCUACUAAGACCUGAGCCAUUCCUUAGAUUUUCAAACAAGCAAUCAAAAACUUCUUGAUCUGAUGCAUGAUUUUCUACAGUCAUAUUCUCCGAAGUACUUAUCCAGAGAGGCAAAAAGAACUAUGUUUUUCACAGUCGAUGAAUCGAGAAUUAAGAAACUUAAUUUAAAGUAUACAUAUGCUAAUUGUAAUCUGCAUUGUGUUCUUUCUGUGCAGCCACAUCAGCACUGUUGUCGUUGAGACUCCAGCUGAAAAUGAUGGCAAGUGCAAGUGCGGAGGCUGCAGCCGCACAAACUGCACAUGUGGUGCUCAUUAAGCAAACAUAAAAUAAUAAUGUUGCAGUUCAUGGCGAUAUAAUGGCCUAAAAAACAAUGAAACUUGGGUUGAAUGGUUUGUCUUUUGUUGUCUGUCAAUAAUGGUUUGUCUUUUGUUGUCUGUCAAUCGUAUGUUUGUCUUUUCAAAAUUUCAAAUUAAAUUAUUCAAAAUCGAAUUAAUCGAAUUUUGUUAUUUUAUUUUUAUUAAUUAUAUCAAUUUUUUAAUUUUAAAAAUUAAUCGACUGAAAUUAAUUUGAUUGAUUCAAUUAAUUUUUUUGAUUAAUCAAAUAAUAAAAUUUAUUGAGUUAAAUUUUAUUUUAAAAUUUUUUGUUUCAUAUGUGAAACAAAUUAAAUAACAUCAUCUAACAAAAAUAUUCAAACAUCAAAGUAUUAAAUUAAAAACUCUUGAAAUAAAUUUGAUAAUUUCAUAUAUUUUUAGUUUUAUAUAUAGAUUUUAUAGUAUUUCGAUUAAACUUUCGGUUAAUUUAAUUUUUGAAUCAAAUUAAUUGAAAACUAAAAUUUUUUAAAAUUAUUUUUAAUAACUAAUCAAAAUUAAUUCAAUGACUAACCGACUAACCAAAUUAAAUCAAUUCGGUUGAUUAAUUUGGUUUUGAACACCCCUACUUUGAGAUGCUAUUGGAAAGAAAAUUUCUUUUAUUUGAAUGGGUAUCAAUAAGAAUGAAAAGAAAAGACUUUAAACAAUGACAGACUUGUGGAUAUAUAUAGCAGAAAUAUUUUUUAGGCUGAAUUCGCGAAUAAAGAAAAAGGCCAAGACUAGAUUUUGGCUCAACAUAUGGACUAAUAAUUAAAGGCCCAAUUUAUCUGAAUUUUAUUUUAUGUUAAAAAAAAGACAACUCAUAAUUUUUAAUUUCUACUUCAUAUAUUGUUUAAAUUAAAUUUCACUUCAUUCACAUAAUUGAUUUUAUGUAUGCUAAUCUAAAUAUUUUUUCCCAAAUAAUAUCAUUAUUUGGUUUGAUAAGUGUUUUAUUACUUUUUUUAAAAGCAUUCAUGUAUGCUUGUGUAUAUAAAUAUUUUUUUUUUUUUUUUGAAAAAAACAUACACCAAUACUUCACUUAUAAAAUUGUCAAAAUGGGUUUAUUUUUUAUAUAAUAAUCCUAAAAAACUUGAUACGGACAUGUAAAGGAGAGAAAAAAAAAUAAGUGGUAGUAAAGAGGACAACCAUGAUUUUUCUUUGCUAUACAAGGAUUAAGAGAUUGAAAACUUAUAUGUAAGGCUAUACUUUGUUCUCAUAAAAUCUUCAAAGGUUGAGAUCGAACUCUUCAAUCAAACUAUCCCUCAACACACUGCCCAAAAUGAUAUAGCAAAUUCUGAAGCCCCAAUUUCUUCCCGGCAUGGAAGUUUAAGCUUAUUAAUAUUUGGUUUGUCAUGGCCCGAUGAGGCAGAACAUGAUCAAGUACUCCAGUUUUAUGAUCAUCCAUUGACUCAUUGUCAUCAAAGAAUACGUAUGCUCAUCCUGUGAAAGCCAUAAAUCUUUCCACUUCCUUGACGAAACAAGGGUUCGUACUGCAAAUUUUGUAGGGGGGAAGGUUGAGAAUCUUUUCACGAAGUGGAUCAUGCAAAUCGCUUAUUCAACAACUUUCCCUUCAUCUGAUAUGAAAUAAGCAAAUUUACUGUAAGUUAUUAUAGUAAAAAAAAAAAAACAAAGGAUAAAAAUUUGAAAUGAACUAAAACAUUAAGAGAAAAUGUUGGAUAGCUACAACAAAAUGAAAGAGAAAAUAUUUACCUUCUAAGAGAAGUAGGUGCAUAUAUUUCCUAUCUUCUUGAAUUGCCACGAACAACAAUCAAAUGCAACAAUGAACAGACAAGAAUUCUUGUAAUCCACAAACAUUUUAAGAUCGCUAAGAGAAAAACUUUGAACUCUAGCAUCUUCUCAUCCUACAAAUUUUAUCUAUGUUUAUACUAAUGGCCGAAAACUGUGUUUAUAUAGACAGUGAAAAAUAAAUGCACAUAGAUUUUUAGGACUAAAAAUAUAACUAUUCUAAAGAUUUUCUUUAAAUAACUUACGAUGUUUGGAGAUUUUUACAAGAUUACUUACGAAAUAUAACAAUUAUCUUGAAGAUUUUUACACUAAUCAUAAUUUUAAAUGAUUUUAUAUUUUUUAAAUAUAUAUUAUCAAAAUUUUUAAAUUAAAAAAUUCUAUAAUUAAUGUGCCAUUUUAUAUUUUGUUAUACCUAAUUAGAGGUGUUUUUGAGUCAGAUCGUGUUGGGUUCGGCUUGAGCUCAUACAUGAUUUUAAUAGCUUAUAUGUUUGUUUAAGCCCAACACAAAAUUUCAUGCUUUAAAAUUUUUUCAAGUUCAACCUAAAUUUUAAAAAAUAAAUCCCAAACUCACCCAUUAAACCUAAUGUAUAUAAUAAAAUUAAAAAAAAUGUAAUUAAAUUAAGUUUAAUAGAAUUAUAUUUAAUUCACAUAUAUAUAUAAAUUAAAAAUAAAAUUAUAUAUGUAAAAUUUAAAAAUUAAGAUUAAUAAAAUAUAUAAUUUUGUUUUUAUUUUUAUAUAAAUGUGAAUUAAUUUAUUUAUAAUUCAUAUAUACAUAUAUAUAAAUAAAAAAUUUAUAUAUAUGUGAAUUCAGUCCAGGCCAAAUUUGAGUUUUAAUCCAAGAUUCAAUUCGAAUUUAAACGGAUUUAAAAAUUGUGAUCAAACCCGUUUAAUAAGUUUUAAUUUUUUAUCAAUACCCUCUCAAAAUUUAAAUGAACUUUCGAGCUUGGAUGAAUAGUCCAACUCUUGAAUAAAUCAAAUCAUAUUGUGACCGAUCAACUGACUUUCUCUUGAAGUUUUUUUGGUUAUAUGAAAAUUUAUAGUGCUUUUUUUUAAAGGUUAAAAACCCAAGCUUCUAAAGUUCUAUUUACCAUUAUUUCAUGGAGAACAUUUGCUUCCCUUAACGUAUAAUUAUUAGAUAAAGAUAAUAGAGCAUUACAGCAAAAAAUUAAUACCACACCAAACAAUGAUUGACAAUAUGUCACCUUUCAUAAUAUAGAAAUGCACAAAUAUAUGGGCUUACUCUUACAUAAGAAGAUGCCUUUGGAUAACAAUUUUCAAAAAAAUUUUGAUAUAAAAACAUUUUAAAAUACAUCAAUUCACAAUAUUAAUUGAGACUAGUGAUCUUGAUGUAUGUUUGUAUUAAUCUAUUUUUUAAAUAAAGCUUUUUAUCUUUUUUUUUUCCUAUCCAACUUUCUUUGCACUUUUUUAGAUUGAUUUCACCUAACUUUUCAAGAAUAAAGAACUUAUAUAUAAUUUUUUUUUAGUAAUGAGUCAAAGAGAAAUUCUCCUUCGGUCUUUUCCAAAGGAAAUGCCUAACAUUUGGAUGGUCAAUAUAUAAGGGUAUUUGUGCCUAAUAUACACAUGUUGGAAUACUAGUGAGCCACAUUUUAAAAGCAAAUAGAAAACUGAAAAAAAAAAAUGCAUGACCUCAAUGAGGGUUUUGAGAUAAUAUCAUAAUUAAUCCUAUAAGCUUAAAGCUCCAUUUAUUUAUAUAUUUAUUAUCUAAAAAAUAAAGUUGAUGUGACGAGAGAAUACAUAUAUAUAUAUAUAUAUAUAUAUAAAUGAGGAUGAAUCAAUUUUUAUAAUGUAAUUCAUUUUUAGUUUUACAUAUUUUUUUAAUUAUUGAUUUUAAUAAAUUUAAGAGAUGAGAUUAAAUCAUUAUUUUUUAUUGUUACUUGUCUUUCUUUUUUUUUUAAAUCUUUUAAAAUUAAUGAUUACAAAAUAUAUAAAACUAAAAAAAAAUUAUUGUGUAAUUAAAUCAAUCCCUCUCAUAUAUAUAUAUAUAUAUAUAUAUAUAUUAAGACUGUAAUCAUGUGAAGAUGUAACUUUUUGUCUACAAGAUUGAUAUUUGUUAUGAUCCUAAUAUCAUAUUUGUAAUUAAGACCAAGAUAAGUGCUAGGAAUGUCAAUGUUCAAAAUCAAUUACAUUUAAUUUUACAAAGUAAAACGCCUUUUUACCAUCUUUUUCGCUAGUUUUGGUUUAUCAAGUGUUUCAAAGCAUCAAGAAAUUUCCUAACAACUAUCUUGAAACGAAAUUCUCCUUGGAGAAUCUGAAAUAGAUCUCUCCAUGUUCUCUUGUCAAAUUUUGUUUUAGAGCUACUAUCUUUUUUCGACUUGUUGAUUGAGAAAAAUAUUAAACUUGAUAAUUUUAGACAUGAUAUAAUAAUAUAAUAUAAAAUUAAUUUACAAAAAAUAUGAAAGCAAUAUAGUUUAAAAUUAACAAAAAUCAUAUAUAAAUUUAUUAAAAAUAAAAAAAAAUAUAUUUUAUAUUUAAUGUAUCAACACAAAUUACAAUAUAAUAAUUUUUAUAUUUUACAUAUAUUUAAUAAGAUAUAAUACGAACAUAUAAGUUAAUAAAUUUUAUAAAGAUAGAUAUCUAUACUUGUAUAUAUGCCAUCUCUUUUUCAAAAACGAGAAAUGAUAUUGACACCAGAGGAGGAUAGCAAGCCAAGGCCCUCCAUUAUCAAGAUUCCUUCUGACUCUUCCUCGAGAGGCGUGCUUUUCUCUCAUGCCUAAGCCCCCCAUGCACGAAACGGUACCCUCUCCCUUCCUACCUCCUCCAUCUAUAAAUACAUGAUCAUGCAAAGCUUUGAAGAUAUAGCAAUCCAUUGCAAGUUGUAACAACUUUAGAAACUCAAAAAACCUUCAGCUCUCAGUUCUCACGUUCAAAAACUUUCCAAGUUCACCAUGUCUGACAAGUGCGGCAACUGUGACUGCGCUGACAAGAGCCAGUGCGUGUAAGUAAUCGAUAAUCCAUCCAUGAUAAACUUCCUUCUAGGGUUGUGUGUGGCUUGAGAUUGUGUUGUUGUUUUAAGUUAUGUUCAUUUCUGCCAUGUCACCGUCAGGCUGAAUAAAAACUUCUCAAUAGCAGCCAUUUUAUCUUUUCCAACCAUGUUUCCUCAGGGACAACCUGUGGAAACUCGAAGUAAUUGUUAUCUUUAAGCUCUUUGUGAGUUUGCAAUCAAGUAUCAUUGAAACUAAAGGCUUUUUUUUUGCUUUUCUAUGCUUACAGGAAGAAGGGAAACACCUUGGUCAUUGAGACCGAGAAGAGGUAUACUUUCUGCACUUCACUCUGAUAACUGCAAAGAAACAAAACAAUAAUAAACAUAAAAUUUCAUAUGCUACUAAGACCUAAGCCAUUCCUUAGAUUUUCAAACAAGCAAUCAAAAACUUCUUGAUCUGAUGCAUGAUUUUCUACAUACAUAUUCUCCUAAGUACUUAUCUAGAGAGGCAAAAAGAAAUAUGUUUUUCGCAGUUGAUGAAUCGAGGAUUAAGAAAUUUAAUUUGAAGUAUACAUAUGCUAAUUAUAAUCUGUAUUGUGUUCUUUCUGUGCAGCUACAUCAACACUGUUGUCGUUGAGACUCCAGCUGAGAAUGAUGGCAAGUGCAAGUGCGGAGCUAGCUGCAGCUGCACAAACUGCACAUGUGGUGGUCAUUAAGCAAACAUAAAAUAAUAUUGUUGUAGUUCAUGGCGAUAUCAUGACCUAAAAAAUAAUGAAAUUUGGGUUGAAUGAUUUGUCUUUUGUUGUCUGUCUGUCAUAUGUUUGUGUCUCCUUACAUACUGUGAUCAUGUAAUGGCCAUGUCCAUGGACUUGUCUUGUUAAUGAAUUACUAUUAGUAUAACUUUUCUC